rnacentral:tRNA from 1 species
GGCGCGUUGGCCCAGUUGGUAUGGAUCCCCGGCUCUCACCUGGGGGACGCGGGUUCGCGUCCCGCACGCGCCAC